AUCAUCGUCAUCCAAACAAGGUGCUUUUCUGUUACUAUCACUAGUAUUUUGCUUGCAUGUGGAGGAAACUAAAAAUAUACACUAUUAUUUUUAUUUUCCAACCGACCAAGUGAUAAACACCCUCUAAAAUUAAAAUUAGGUGAUGCUAUUUAUCUAAAAGAUUUUUAUCUUGAGACACCACCAGAAAGUUUAAGCCAUGUCUGCUUGUCCACAAAUUAUGGGGUGAUGGAUGAAAUAUAGGAAAUGUAUUCAAUGUAAAUUGCCUUACAUCUCAUUCGCUGUGAUUUCGUGGCACAAAAAUUCGCUUGAUAUAUCAUUAUCCUUUUUAAAAUAAGGCCUUUGGAAAUUGUUAGUAAUAAAAAUAUUAUUAUUUCAAUUAGAUUUUAAACUCGAUCUUUUCAAAACUAUUUGUUUAAAGGCUUAAAUAGGUCUUUCGUCCCUGCAAAUAUAAGUCAUUUGAAUUUUCGUCUCUGAAGUAUUAAUCCUUGCAAAUAUUAAUCAUUUGACUUUUGGUCCUAAUUAGUUUUUUUUUUUUUUUUUUUUUGCUGAGAUGGACUGUCAUUAGCGACGUGGUGUCCAUGUGGCAAGUGAUGAUUGGGUGAGGUGGUUGGCUUAAAUAGUUCUUUCGUCCAUGCAAAUAUAGGUCAUUUGAAUUUUCGUCCUUGAAGUUACUAAUCAGAUGUAAUUAGGACUAUUUUUCAAAUGAUUAAUAUUUGCAAUGACAUAAUGGAAGGAUUAGUAACUUCAGGGACGAAAAUUCAAAUGACCUAUAUUUGCAGGGACGAAAGACCUACUUAAACCUUGUUUAAAACCGGAAUUUAUUAACUAUUUGAUUUCAAUCACUUAUUAUAAAUUACGGUCUUAGUAAAAUGAAAUUGUGGUUUGAGCUAAAAUUUAUAAUUUAGCCACUUACAACAAACAAAAUCGUCCCUUAAAAAUAAACAAAAUAAAAUUCAUGCUACAUAAAAAUUUGAAUUGCCUGUUCUUCAAAUUUAAAAACUUUGCAACACUUUCUACAGUUGGGGAAAGAAUAUGGCAUUGAAUAAGAUAACGUAGGAGCGUCGAUAACUAUGCCUGAUAAGCUUUCUUGUAAGUGUUGCAUUCUCUAUCGUCUCAACUCAUUUCUUGGUCUCUGACAACCCUCACACGAUUCAUCAUUUUUGCAUCUUUUUCUAACUCGUAUGUUGUGAACUUGACUCACUGAAUUCAUGUGAUUUGUAUUGUGUUUCUUAAUGUCUCCCACUUAUGGUGUAGGUACUAUCGAUCGCUUAAGAUGUGGAUGAAAAUGGCAAAAAAAAACAAUACUCUCUAGUUACAAUUUCUUCCUGACAGUGUCAUACCGUCACAAGACCCUCUUCCGAAGCCUAUCUCCCACUUCACCUAGCCUUUAAAUUUGGCCCCUAUGGUGGUGAUCUCAAUUGCAAAAAGGAACUUCGAGCACCACAUAGGAAAUAACCAUGGAAACUAUGUGUCUUUGACACCCAUCACUAUCCAAUUUGAGAUCUUAAGUUUGUGUUGAUGCAAUUUUUGUUUGUCUUGUUUUGUUUGUCUUGUUUUGUAUGGUGUUAUGAGCUGGCCAAAAGCUUAGCCCGUAAAAAAUUAUGGCCCAAUUACGCAAGACCCAAAUGAGUAGACUCUUCUCAUUCUCACCUCGAAUCCUUGCCGACUCAUAACUCUACAUAAUGGCAUGAUGGCUUGUAACUAACAAGCACUGACGGAAUCUAUUUGUAACGACUCUCCAUUAUCACACAAUGGCUCUCCUUGAUGCCAAUAUAAACAUGCCUCCAACAUCUCUCAAGUUAUGAAUUAUUCCAUCCUUAACCCAUCUUCUUGUCAUAUGUUGACUCGAGAGUCAGAGUGACUGCUUGUACACCCCUUCAUUCGUUGUCGUCUCCUCCUCAGAUUUUGGUCACCACCUCCAUCAACAGAGCACCUCCUUCCACGAUUACUACCGAUGUGUGUAUCUCUAUCCUCUUUGGGUAAAUUCUCUCUUCAACAAUUGUUUUUUAUUUUGUUUGAAGUUUGUACUCCAUACAUGUUGAAAUGCAAGAGAAAGACUUUCUCUUUGAGUAAGGGACAUGUGAAGGCCGUCACCAAAUUCAACACCUUAUCAACCUCACAAAUGACUUAACAUCAUGUUGGUGGAUUGGUCAUAUCAAAGACAACAUGCAGCGUUAUGAGCGAACACCAACAAAUAUUUUUUUCUUCUCGUAGAUGGAUAAGAACAAAAACAAAGAAUCUUGCAAUUAGGUUGACCAUUAGCUUUAUGUGAAAGAUGUUAGUUUGGUUGUUAAGGUUAAGUUUUUGGUUUAUCAAUUUUUUGAUGGAAUCUAAAAUGUUUACGUGUGUCG
rnacentral:lncRNA from 1 species